CCUUAGAGUUCGGAAUAACCUGCCGAAAGGCGGGCUAAUACUGGAUAGAGCGACGGAAGUCAUAAUGACUUUUUCGGGAAAGGGAGCUUGAUAAGAGCCCUCGCUUUAAGAUGAGCCUGCGUCUGAUUAGUUAGUUGGUGAGGUAACGGCUCACCAAGACGAUGAUCAGUAGCUGGUCUGAGAGGAUGAUCAGCCACACUGGAACUGAAACACGGUCCAG
rnacentral:rRNA from 1 species